UGACCUGUGAUGAUACCUUUUGUGAAAAUACCAUCUUUUCGGGCCUGACUUGCAACCAGCCAUGUUGUCACUACAAUUUCUGAGGUUA
rnacentral:snoRNA from 1 species